AAGUGAGUAGCCCAUUGGCUGCGCAUGCGUUGGCUUACAAUCCAUGAUGGUGGCCAUGACACAUGCGCAGUUCGGCACGAGACAACCGUUGGACCCGAUGACGUGUGUCUGCGCAUGAGCUUAGAUAGCCAACGUCGCCAUGACAUCGCCUACGAGCGUGAUCGGGGAUUUCUAUUGGAGAAGCAUGUUCUGCCUAUCUCCAUUCUGUUGGCACUGGACUGUGAAGGUGUCGUUACUGGAGCUGCAAUGACAACAAUGUAGAUGCAUAUUUGAGAUGCAAAUGAAUAAUGAAAAUGUGAUGAUAGAGCACAGAUCUGUCUGUGUGUGUGUGUGUCUAAAUGAGGACUAAUUGUUGAUUUGAGUAUUCAGCCAGGACUCACGAACAACUGUCAACAACACUGAAUCAUAAUCAGGGCUGGAUGACUCCUUAAAUAACUCUCAUCAAAGUCACAUUGACUGUAAUGAAGCAUCAACAUUAGGGAUAAACCAUUGGGAACAGACAGCUAGACCUUGUCCAAUGCAACAACAAAAAGCUGGCAUCCUGCAAAACAUGUAGGCUAUUGUAUGUGACUGUAGGAAAAACGCAUACGAGUUUAGGUCUAGAGUGACAUCCUUUGUAGCUAUUAUUCAUUGAAAAUAUUUUGCUGUCAACUUUCAUUUCAUCAAGAGUUGUAGGUAGAUUUCGAUGGCUAACCCAUUUGUACAAGUCCUGUUGGAAAAUGUAUGUGGGUUUUAACCCACAAGAUCGAUUGCUUUCAGAUACAAAAUGUGUAUGUUUCACAGCUUACAGCCAGGCCAAUGUACUACUCCUCCAGCCCUACUCAUAGUGCUGCGUCUUGUGGACUGGCGACGUGUGUAUGUUUCUGCAGGUGAGAACAAGGUAAAGGACGAGGCUUGUAAAAUCACUCCAAACAAAAAUACAUAUGCUUGUAUCACUAAUGGUAGUUACAUUCAAAUGGGACGGGAUGGGACAAGCUGGUACAUUCAAAUGGGAUGGGAUGGGACAAGCUGGUACAUUCAAAUGGAUGGGAUGGGACAAGCUGGUACAUUCAAAUGGGGCGGGAUGGGACAAGCUGGUACAUUCAAAUGGGAUGGGAUGGGACAAGCUGGUACAUUCAAAUGGGGCGGGAUGGGACAAGCUGGUACAUUCAAAUGGGGCGGGAUGGGACAAGCUGGUACAUUCGAAUGGGAUGGGAUGGGACAAGCUGGUACAUUCAAAUGGGAUGGGAU